AUGUGGCUUUUCUCUGUAAACACAGUUUGUUUAAGUGUAUGUUCAUCUACAACGCUGACUUUUUUUAAAUUUUGUUUUCCUUUGUGGUAUUUAUUUUUGCCUCAUGUGAAAUGAACUACGUUGUUACAAUGAUACAGCACGCUUCGAUGUGGAUCCAAUCUUAAACGACAAGCACCGCUGUUUUGCAUGCAGAGCAGCAACAUUAAAGACUGAGUUAAUCCUC